UACGAAGGGGGCUAGCGUUACUCGGAUUUACUGGGCGUAAAGGGCGCGUAGGCGGCUUGUACAGUCAGACGUGAAAUUCCUGGGCUCAACCUGGGGGCUGCGUUUGAUACGUAUGGGCUUGAGUUCGGAAGAGGGUCGUGGAAUUCCCAGUGUAGAGGUGAAAUUCGUAGAUAUUGGGAAGAACACCGGUGGCGAAGGCGGCUCACUGGCUCAUUACUGACGCUCAGGCGCGAUAGCGUGGGGAUCAAACAGG
rnacentral:rRNA from 1 species